rnacentral:rRNA from 1 species
GAUGAACGCUAGCUACAGGCUUAACACAUGCAAGUCGAGGGGUAGCAGGGUAGCAAUACCGCUGACGACCGGCGCACGGGUGAGUAACACGUAUCCAACCUUCCCAUAACUCGGGGAUAGCCUUUCGAAAGAAAGAUUAAUACCCGAUGGUACUUAUAUAAGGCAUCUUAAAUAAGUUAAAGAUUUAUUGGUUAUGGAUGGGGAUGCGUUCCAUUAGAUAGUUGGUGAGGUAACGGCUCACCAAGUCUUCGAUGGAUAGGGGUUCUGAGAGGAAGGUCCCCCACAUUGGUACUGAGACACGGACCAAACUCCUACGGGAGGCAGCAGUGAGGAAUAUUGGUCAAUGGGCGAGAGCCUGAACCAGCCAAGUAGCGUGAAGGAUGAAGGUCCUAUGGAUUGUAAACUUCUUUUAUAGUAGAAUAAAGUGAUCCACGUGUGGAUUUUUGUAUGUAUACUAUGAAUAAGGAUCGGCUAACUCCGUG